rnacentral:rRNA from 1 species
AUGGGGGCGACUGGUGUGCUUGUUCUUGCUGGUACGUCCAGGGAGGCCAUCGCAUUCUAGCCUGGUUACUUUUAGGGCGAGGCUUAGACAUCCAGCGGAACUGGGCCGGAGAAGCGGGGGAUAGCCUUCCGAAAGGGAGAUUAAUACCGCAUGUGGCCCCCUUUUAUUAGGGUGGUUAAAUGUGCCUUCGGGUAUCGCUUCGAGAUGGGCUCGCGGCCUAUCAGCUUGUUGGUGAGGUAAUGGCUCACCAAGGCUACGACGGGUAGCUGGUCUGAGAGGACGAUCAGCAACACUGGAACUGAGACACGGUCCAGACACCUACGGGUGGCAGCAGUCGAGAAUCAUUCACAAUGGGGGCAACCCUAGAUGGUGCAACGCCGCGUGGAGGAUGAAGGCCCUAGGGUCGUAAACUCCUGUCAUAUGAGAGUAAGGCAUAUGUGUUAAUACCAUGUAUGUUUGAUAGUAUCAUAAGAGGAAGGGACGGCUAACUUCGUGCCAGCAGCCGCGGUAAUACGAAGGUCCCGAGCGUUAUUCGGAAUCACUGGGCGUAAAGAGUACGUAGGCGGUUUGGUAAGUCAGGUGUGAAAUCCCGGAGCUCAACUCCGGAACUGCAUCCGAUACUGCCAGACUUGAGUAAUGGAGAGGCAGGGUGGAUUCUCGGUGUAGCAGUGAAAUGCGUAGAUAUCGAGAGGAAGACCAAUGGCGAAGGCAGCCUGCUGGCAUUUACUGACGCUGAGUACGAAGCCAGGNUAGCGAANNGGAUAGAUACCCUGUAGUCCUGCA